rnacentral:rRNA from 1 species
GCACAAGCAGUGAGUAUGUGGUUUAAUUCGAAGCAACGCGAAGAACCUUACCAGGGCUUGACAUCCCUUGAAGCAGCUAGAGAUAGCUGUGUCCUUCGGGACAAGGAGACAGGUGGUGCAUGGUUGUCGUCAGCUCGUGUCGUGAGAUGUUGGGUUAAGUCCCGCAACGAGCGCAACCCCUGUGGUUAGUUGCCAGCAAGUAGCGUUGGGCACUCUAGCCAGACUGCCGGUGAUAAAUCGGAGGAAGGUGGGGACGACGUCAAAUCAUCAUGCCCUUUAUGACCUGGGCUACACACGUGCUACAAUGGGCGGUACAAAGGGUCGCGAACCCGCGAGGGGGAGCCAAUCCCAAAAAGCCGCUCUCAGUUCGGAUUGCAGGCUGCAACUCGCCUGCAUGAAGCCGGAAUCGCUAGUAAUCGCGGAUCAGCACGCCGCGGUGAAUACGUUCCCGGGCCUU